rnacentral:rRNA from 1 species
UGUCUCUAGUUGAGUCCCUUCGUUUACUCGGCGGGUCCGCCCGCCGAUUGGACAAUUAACCAUUUGCAGUUGCAAUCAGCGUCUGAAAACUUAUAGUUACAACUUUCAACAACGGAUCUCUUAGAGUUCUGGCAUCAGAUGAAGAACGCAGCGAAAUGCGAUAAGUAAGUAGUGAAUUAGCACGAAUUCAGUAGAAUCAUCGAAUCUUUAGAACGGCACAUAUGCGCCCCUUGAGUAUUCCAUAGGGAGCAUAGCCUAGUAUCCGACGCAGUACAUUUAGUACCUAUCAAGCUCUGCUUAGGUAGUAUGGGUUGUUUAGUCUCGCCUCUGCAGCAGCAAGACUCAGCCAUACAAAACAAAUAUNGGCAAGACCAGGCGUAAUAUNGAUUUCAGGAGNCGACAGUACAUCUCGCAGCUAUUUGCACUACAUAACGACAGACGUCCAAAAGUACAUNUAUUACACUCUUGACCUCGGAUCAAGAGUAGGGAUACCCGCAUGAACUUAA